rnacentral:SRP_RNA from 1 species
GAUUUAGUCCCGUGCGGCGAAGAACCGUGAACCCCGCCAGGUCCGGAAGGAAGCAGCGGUAAGCGAAUAUCUUCGGGCGCCACGGGGUCGCUGAGUCCC